rnacentral:rRNA from 1 species
UACGAAGGGGGCUAGCGUUGCUCGGAAUCACUGGGCGUAAAGGGUGCGUAGGCGGGUCUUUAAGUCAGGGGUGAAAUCCUGGAGCUCAACUCCAGAACUGCCUUUGAUACUGAAGAUCUUGAGUUCGGGAGAGGUGAGUGGAACUGCGAGUGUAGCGGUGAAAUGCGUAGAUAUUGGGAGGAACACCGGUGGCGAAGGCGGCAUCCUGGACCAACACUGACGCUGAGUGAGCGAAAGCCAGGGGAGCAAACGGG